AUUGAACGCUGGCGGCAUGCUUUACGCAUGCAAGUCGAACGGCAGCGCGGGCUUCGGCCUGGCGGCGAGUGGCGAACGGGUGAGUAAUACAUCGGAACGUGCCCAGUAGUGGGGGAUAGCUCGGCGAAAGCCGGAUUAAUACCGCAUACGACCUGAGGGUGAAAGCGGGGGAUCUUCGGACCUCGCGCUAUUGGAGCGGCCGAUGGCAGAUUAGCUAGUUGGUGGGGUAAAGGCCUACCAAGGCGACGAUCUGUAGCUGGUCUGAGAGGACGACCAGCCACACUGGGGCUGAGACACGGCCCAGACUCCUACGGGAGGCAGCAGUGGGGAAUUUUGGACAAUGGGCGAAAGCCUGAUCCAGCAAUGCCGCGUGUGUGAUGAAGGCCUUCGGGUUGUAAAGCACUUUUGGCGGGAACGAAAAGGACUGUGCCAAUACCACGGUUCGAUGACGGUACCCGCAGAAUAAGCACCGGCUAACUACGUG
rnacentral:rRNA from 1 species